AUUGAACGCUGGCGGCAGGCCUAACACAUGCAAGUCGAGCGAGCGGCGGACGGGUGAUUAAUGUAUGGGGACUGCCCGAUAGAGGGGGAUAACUACUGGAAACGGUAGCUAAUACCGCAUACUAUUGGAUAACCCCUAUGGGAUUAGCUAGUAGGUGAGGGAAGUGCUCACCAAGGCGACGAUCCCUAGCUGGUCUGAGAGGAUGAUCAGCAACACUGGGACGGAGACACGGCCCAGACUCCUACGGAGGCAGCAGUGGGGAAUAUUGCACAAUGGGCGAAAGCCUGAUGCAGCCAUGCCGCGUGUAUGAAGAAGGCCCUAGGGUUGUAAAGUACUUUCAGUCGGGAGGCGUUACCGACAGAAGAAGCACCGGCUAACUCCGGGCCAGCAGCCGCGGUAAUAC
rnacentral:rRNA from 1 species